AACGACUCUCGGCAACGGAUAUCUCGGCUCACGCAUCGAUGAAGAACGUAGCAAAAUGCGAUACUUGGUGUGAAUUGCAGAAUCCCGUGAACCAUCGAGUUUUUGAACGCAAGUUGCGCCCGAAGCCUUUUGGUUGAGGGCACGUCUGCCUGGGCGUCACAU
rnacentral:rRNA from 2 species